GAAGAAUUAGUUAAAUAAGAAUAACAUUAGAAUGUCAAUCUAAAAUUAUCCAAUAGAUACUCUUCU
rnacentral:tRNA from 1 species